CCUACGAGGGGCAGCAGUGAGGAAUAUUGGGCAAUGGACGCAAGUCUGAACCAGCCAUGCCGCGUGCAGGAAGACGGCUCUAUGAGUUGUAAACUGCUUUUGUACGGGGGUAAACGCAGGUACGCGUAUCUUUCUGAAAGUAUCGUACGAAUAAGGAUCGGCUAAUUCCGUGCCAGCAGCCGCGGUAAUACGGAGGAUUCAAGCGUUAUCCGGAUUUAUUGGGUUUAAAGGGUGCGUAGGCCGUCGCUUAAGGUAGAUGUGAAAUCCCGGGGCUCAACGUCGGAAGUGCCUCUGAAACUGGUCGGCUUGAGAGUAAUGGCGGUAGGCGGAAUGCAUGGUGUAGCGGUGAAAUGCUUAGAUAUCAGAAAGAACACCGAUUGCGAAGGCAGCUUAC
rnacentral:rRNA from 1 species